rnacentral:rRNA from 1 species
UCCAGAGAAUUUAGCAGAGAUGCUUUAGUGCCUUCGGGAACUCUGAGACAGGUGCUGCAUGGCUGUCGUCAGCUCGUGUUGUGAAAUGUUGGGUUAAGUCCCGNAACGAGCGCAACCCUUAUCCUUUGUUGCCAGCACGUAAUGGUGGGAACUCAAAGGAGACUGCCGGUGAUAAACCGGAGGAAGGUGGGGAUGACGUCAAGUCAUCAUGGCCCUUACGAGUAGGGCUACACACGUGCUACAAUGGCGCAUACAAAGAGAAGCGACCUCGCGAGAGCAAGCGGACCUCAUAAAGUGCGUCGUAGUCCGGAUUGGAGUCUGCAACUCGACUCCAUGAAGUCGGAAUCGCUAGUAAUCGUAAAUCAGAAUGUUACGGUGAAUACGUUCCCGGGCCUUGUACACACCGCCCGUCACACCAUGGGAGUGGGUUGCAAAAGAAGUAGAUAGCUUAACCUUCGGGAGGGCGUUUACCACUUUGUGAUUCAUGACUGGGGUGAAGUCGUAACAAGGUAGGCGUAGUGCU